rnacentral:rRNA from 1 species
CCCGAAACGGGUGUUCGGACAGUGUCUGGUGGGUAGUUUGACUGGGGCGGUCUCCUCCCAAAGAGUAACGGAGGAGUACGAAGGUUUGCUAAUCACGGUCGGACAUCGUGAGGUUAGUACAAUGGUAUAAGCAAGCUUGACUGCGAGACGGACAUGUCGAGCAGGUACGAAAGUAGGUCAUAGUGAUCCGGUGGUUCUGAAUGGAAGGGCCAUCGCUCAACGGAUAAAAGGUACUCCGGGGAUAACAGGCUGAUACCGCCCAAGAGUUCAUAUCGACGGCGGUGUUUGGCACCUCGAUGUCGGCUCAUCACAUCCUGGGGCUGAAGUAGGUCCCAAGGGUAUGGCUGUUCGCCAUUUAAAGUGGUACGCGAGCUGGGUUUAGAACGUCGUGAGACAGUUCGGUCCCUAUCUGCCGUGGGCGUUGGAGAAUUGAAAGGGGCUGCUCCUAGUACGAGAGGACCGGAGUGGACGCAUCACUGGUGUUCCAGUUGUUUCGCCAGAAGCAUUGCUGGGUAGCUACAUGCGGAAUAGAUAAGUGCUGAAAGCAUCUAAGCACGAAACUAGCCUUGAGAUGAGUUCUCCCAAUCUAUAAGAUUGUAAGGGUUGUUUGAGACUAAGACGUAGAUAGGCAGGGUGUGUAAGCGUUGUGAGACGUUGAGCUAACCUGUACUAAUUGCCCGAGAGACUUAACCAU